AUUGAACGCUGGCGGCAGGCCUAACACAUGCAAGUCGAACGAGUGGCGGACGGGUGAGUAAGGUCUGGGAAACUGCCUGAUGGAGGGAGAUAACUAGUGGAAACGGUAGCUAAUACCGCAUACCAUCAGAUGUGCCCAGAUGGGAGUAGCUUGUUGGUGGGGUAACGGCUCACCAAGGCGACGAACCCUAGCUGGUCUGAGAGGAUGACCAGCCACACUGGAACUGAGACACGGUCCAGCCUCCGACGGGAGUCAGCAGUGGGGAAUAUUGCACAAUGGGCGCAAGCCUGAUGCAGCCAUGCCGCGUGUAUGAAGAAGGCUUUCGGGUUGUAAAGUACUUUCAGCGGGGAGGCGUUACCCGCCGAAAAAGCCCCGGCUAACUCCGUGCCAGCAGCCGCGGUAAUAC
rnacentral:rRNA from 1 species